CUACGGGCUGCAGCAGUGAGGAAUAUUGCACAAUGGGGGGAACCCUGAUGCAGCAACGCCGCGUGGAGGAUGACGCAUUUCGGUGUGUAAACUCCUUUUAUAUGUCAAGAAAAUGACGGUAGCAUAUGAAUAAGCACCGGCUAACUCCGUGCCAGCAGCCGCGGUAAUACGGAGGGUGCAAGCGUUACUCGGAAUCACUGGGCGUAAAGGACGCGUAGGCGGGUUGGAAAGUCAGGUGUGAAAUCCUACAGCUUAACUGUAGAACUGCACUUGAAACUUCUAAUCUAGAGUAUGGGAGGGGGAGAUGGAAUUAGUGGUGUAGGGGUAAAAUCCGUAGAUAUCACUAGGAAUACCUAAAGCGAAGGCGAUUUCCUGGAACAUUACUGACGCUAAGGCGUGAAAGCGUGGGGAGCAAACAGGAUUAGAUACCCGAGUAGUC
rnacentral:rRNA from 1 species